GGCUGGUAUCAAACUCCUCAACUCAGGUGAUCCACUUGCCUUGGCCUCCCAAAGUGCUAGGUUUACAGGCACGAGUCACUGCACCCAGCCUGAAGCAUUAUUUUCAACAGUCAAAAACUGGAAACAAUCCAAAUAUGUGUAUUAACAGAAUGGAUAGAUGGAAAUGGUGUUAUAUUCAUAUGAUGGAAAAACUAUAACAAACCACAACUUUAUGUUGCAUGAAAGAAGUCAGAAACAAAAAAAGUAUAUACUAUAUGAUUCUAUUUAUAUAAAGUUUAAAUAUAGGCAAAACUAACUUAUGGUAUUAGAAGCCAGAAUAGUGGUUACCACUGGUAGGAGGUUGUAGUGACUGGGGCUGUGGUAAGGUUCUGCUGCUGAACUGGGUGCUGGUUACGCUGUGACACUUUAUGAAAUAUCACUGAGCUAAACAUGUAAGAUUUCUAUAUAUACAAUUUAAUAAAAAGUUUACAUUAAAAAAACAAUAAUAUCAGUUUAGUGGAGAGGAAGCAAUUAAAUAUACUAAAGACAAGAUAGGUAUAGUACCUGAUCAGAACAGGGCAAAUGUGACACUGUCCUUCUACGCUCUCAGGGCAACCAAAAGCCAAUGGGACCUUGCUUUGACCAUCACUAGGAGGAUGCCAUUUUACCCAGCCUCCCAGGAGGGAUGGUGAAGGGUCUUUAGAAGAAUCUGACUGGUGGUAUAAUCAAGGAACCGCAUGUAAAUGAAAGAAACUCGAAGUCCCAAUAAAAUAUUUGAGGCUAGAGAGAAGUGUAACAUAAUUGAGCCCAGGAAAGGGAAAAUUCUGAGUAAGUACUGCCUUUCCGAAGCAUGCUGUACCAUUCCCAAGCCAAAACAUUGGAUUUUCCCUUUAAUGGAGGGAAAUCAGAAACAUGAAUACUUAUUCAAGGAAGUUCUCCUAAAAAGCAUCCUUAUCCAUACAAGGGUCCAAGAAAGACAAGGACUGAAGAUCAAACAACUUCUCUCCAUAAGUUAAUUACUGAGUAUUGUAUCAGUGAAAGGCAUUACCUUAGGUGUGUAUAUAGAGAGGAAAGAUUUCAGAGCAGAAUCAGAUCCACUCCACAACAAAGUAUCAAGUAAGGUAGUAACUGAUCAGUGGCCUGAUAAACUAGAGGAAUCCAGAAAAAGACAAGUUCACUCUCCAGGUGAAAUGUCAAGAAUAAAAAAUAAGUAGUAUUUAAACUGGGUAUUAAAGGAUGGAGAGAAUUUUAAGUGCAAGGUGGGGGACAAGAAGAAGAGGAUGCAGAUACUCCGGGCAAAGGCAAAUGAUGUGUACAACACCAGAGACUGAAAACCACAGACAAGAAAUGAGCACUCAGAGUGUCAGCUACAUGCCAGGCACUGUGCUAGAUUCUGCUUUUUAUAUAAUUAAUUCAUGAUGCUUAGAAAGGUUAGAUAUGUGUCCAAGCCAGUUGACUGGUAUAGCCAGGAUUAAAUUCAAAUUCAGCUCUCUUCAACAAUUCCAGAACCAGCAAUCAUUCCAGUAUGAGUGGCAAGUGAACAGUGCAAGAUAAAGCUGAAAACAUUAAACUAAAAUCAGGUCCAUGAAAACCCUUCAUGCAGUGAAUAAUAGGAAUCAAUGAAGGUUUUUUUGAUAUUAGAGUCACAAGAAGUCUUUCUUGGAACCCAUUCAAGAAAGUCUUAAGGCAGGGCACAGUGGCUCAUGCCUGUAAUCCCAGCACUUUGGGAGGCCGAGGCGGGCAGAUCACUUGAGGUCAGGAGUUUGAGACCAGCCUGGCCAACAUGGCGAAACUCCAUCUGUACUAAAAAUAUAAAAAUUAGC
ensembl:lncRNA novel transcript, antisense to AGO1